rnacentral:lncRNA from 1 species
AAAUGCUGGGAAAGCAAGAGUUGAAUUGCUAGCCAUGAGGAAAACGUAAGCCUGAGCUGUUUGCUGGCCAUCUUUGCUUCCACAUGGGGAUGGCCUGCCUGGAAAUGAAGCCACACAGAGAAAACAGAAGAGCAGUGAAGAGAAAGGUAAAAGCAGAGAUCCCAUGACAUGAUUUGCCCUCUUAGAUCCAGUUAUGCCUGACGCAGGACCCACCCCUUGGACUUCCCAUUUCCAGGAGCUAAAACUAGAUUGAGUUGAGUUUCUGUCACUUACAGUUGACAGAAAAUAUCAACAAUCCAGCCACAUGGAGCCUCGUGGCAGUACCACUAACCCUGGUCACCACAUGAAUACUGACCAGAGGCAUUUCACCUGAAUCAACUGUUUGUGUUCUUAACUCCAUCUCCUCAUCUGCUUCCUGGAAGACCCAACUGACAUAGAUGGUUACAAGAAAUGAUUUCCUCCUUAUAAAACUUUAGAUGUCAAUGUGAUCUCUCACAAGCACACUGAAAAAUUCACACCAUGGAAAAGAACUAAAGUCCCAUCCUAAUUCAUCAGAACUUUCUGUUU